AUGAGAUCAUUGCAUUACAGCAGUGUAGCAAACUGGCACCCUGCCUUUGCAUCCCUUUGGUUCAGGAGACAAACGUGUGCAAUCCUCAUUUCUAAAGUCAGCACAGCCUGGAAGGAUUCCUGGUCUCUCCCACCUUCUACCAUUCUGCUGCCAGUGACGGCAAGGAUUGGUGCAGCUUCUGCGCAGUGCUUUGUGCCUGGAAUACCGAGAUGGAAGAAAAGGAAGACAAGCACCCCGGUCCUUCUUUUCUAAGAAAUUACAGGAGCCCUGAAGAAAAAAAUCUGGGUUUGUCCUACUACAUGCAAGAGUGCUGAAAAAAAUGAGACGCUCCUGCUCAAAAACAAAAACAAAAACAAACAAACAAAAAUCCAAACCAAAACAAACUUUAAAAAAAAGCAAACAUUGGCUUAUAUAACUGCAGAGACAUCGAGCUUUGUAAAGCAGCUUUUUAAGGCAACAUAACCAAAUGAGCCUUCUUUAUUUUUAUGAUUUCAAACAAUAUGGCAUAAUUAGCAAUAUAUUGCACUUGGUGAAAUCGCACCUUUCAUAUCAGGGAAAAACUUAAAAUGGAUAUGAAAAGUGAAGAAAGUGCUCAUAGGAGAAAAUCAUCUCAGGUGCCUGACGAUUUGUGAGUUCCAAGUGAUUAUUCUGUGGAAUCAUCUUUCCUUGCCUUUGAAUUAUCUUUUCCUAGGCAAUGAGUGAACAUCCGUAUUUUAUACAUCCAAAUUGACUGUGUCCUCUCUCUCUUGCUCUCCCAGAGGAAGACAAGAACCAUCACCAGUGGCAAAUGGCAGUUGCAAAGCAACACCAAGAGCCGGCUUUACGCUCAGGAGAGAACACUGCACUUCCUCCUCGUGGUUUCUGGUGCUCGACACUCUCAGAGAAACUUCUCGAGUAACCAACUAUAGAAAAGACCCUUGAAACUUCUGGUAAUUGCCACUAUACUCUUUGAUUCUACACGUUUGACUAUUUCUGAUACCUCAUGAACUGUUCCAGGCUCUGGGAUACAUCUGGAAAAAAGUAGACAAAACCCUGCCCUCUGUGGGUCACUGAUAAAUAAACAAGUGAGUAAAUAUGCAGAAUAUAAGAUGGUGUAAGUAUUAUGGAGAAAAUAAAAGCAGUUAUAAUUAGUGAUAGAGAGGCCACAGGAGGGUGGUAUUUGGUAUUUUAUACAAGUCUAUCCAGAAAGGCUUCAUGACAGACAUUUGAGCAGAGACAAUUCCCACUGUGGAUACAUACCAGAGAGGUAUCUGGGACUGAGAGUUCCAGGAAGAGAAGCAAUAAGAGUAAGGUUCCCAAGGUUGGAGCAUGCUUGGCAUUUUUCCAGAAACAGCAGGAAAUCUAGUAUGAUGGCUGAAGGAGAAUGAGCAAGGGAUGCUGUAAUAGCAGGCCGUGUGUCAGGACAAAGAGUCUGUACUUAUACCUCACCUAUCCUGCCCUCUUUGCCUCCCCCUCACCACUUGACUUUGUGCUCCUCUACACUUGUGAUGUCCAAUAUGGUCACCACUAGCCACUUGUGACUGUUGGGAACGUGGAAUGGGGCUAGUCCAACCAGACAGUAUGACAUAUUUAAUAUGUUGACAUAAACAUAUUUUGGCUAUUGGGCUAAGAGUAAGUAAUUUCAUCUGUUUCUUUUCUUGUACUUAAUAUUUUUGUUUUGAGAUAAUUCUAGAUUCCC